AAUCAACGCUGGCGGCGUGCCUAACACAUGCAAGUCGAACGCGAAGACCCCGCAAGGGUUGGUAGCGUGGCAAACGGGUGAGUAACGCGUGGGCGACCUACCUCAGAGUGGGGGAUAACCUUCCGAAAGGGAGGCUAAUACCGCAUGACAUGCCCUGUUUAGAUACAGGGACAUCAAAGCCGGGGAUCGUAAGACCUGGCGCUUGGAGAGGGGCCCGCGUCCGAUUAGCUAGUUGGUGGGGAACGGCUCACCAAGGCUCCGAUCGGUAUCCGGCCUGAGAGGGCGGACGGACACACUGGAACUGAGACACGGUCCAGACUCCUACGGGAGGCAGCAGUGGGGAAUUGUUCGCAAUGGGCGCAAGCCUGACGACGCAACGCCGCGUGGAGGAUGAAGAC
rnacentral:rRNA from 1 species